rnacentral:rRNA from 1 species
GAUGAACGCUGGCGGCGUGCCUAAUACAUGCAAGUAGAACGCUGAAGGAAGGAGCUUGCUCUUUCCGGAUGAGUUGCGAACGGGUGAGUAACGCGUAGGUAACCUGCCUGGUAGCGGGGGAUAACUAUUGGAAACGAUAGCUAAUACCGCAUAACAGUAGAUGUUGCAUGAUAUCUACUUAAAAGGUGCAAUUGCACCACUACCAGAUGGACCUGCGUUGUAUUAGCUAGUUGGUGAGGUAACGGCUCACCAAGGCGACGAUACAUAGCCGACCUGAGAGGGUGAUCGGCCACACUGGGACCGAGACGCGGCCCAGACUCCUACGGGAGGCAGCAGUAGGGAAUCUUCGGCAAUGGACGGAAGUCUGACCGAGCAACGCCGCGUGAGUGAAGAAGGUUUUCGGAUCGUAAAGCUCUGUUGUAAGAGAAGAACGAGUGUGAGAGUGGAAAGUUCACACUGUGACGGUAUCUUACCAGAAGGGGACGGCUAACUACGUG